rnacentral:rRNA from 1 species
UACGGGGGGGGCAAGCGUUGUCCGGAUUUAUUGGGCGUAAAGAGCGUGUAGGCGGUUAGGUAGGUCCGUUGUGAAAACUCGAGGCUCAACCUCGAGACGCCGAUGGAAACCAUCUGACUAGAGUCCGGAAGAGGAGAGUGGAAUUCCUGGUGUAGCGGUGAAAUGCGCAGAUAUCAGGAAGAACACCCGUGGCUAAGGCGGCUCUCUAGUACGUGACUGACGCUGAGACGCGAAAGCGUGGGGAGCGAACAGG